rnacentral:rRNA from 1 species
AUGAAACAAGUUGUUCUAUCUGAUUCACCAGAUCAACCUGUGUGGCGGCUGGAACCAUCUGGUAGUUAUUCGGUCAAGUCUUUUUACAAACUAAUUAACUUUGGAGGGAUCACUUCUGAGAUCAGAGACGAUAUAUGGAAAAUUAAAGUCUCCCCUAAUCUUCAUGUCUUCCUUUGGUUGAUUUAUUACAAUAAGAGCCUGACCAGAGACAACUUAGCCAAACGUAGACAUGUAGAGGAUAAGACUUGUGUCUUUUGUGAGGAAUUAGAAACUAUCCAACAUCUGUUUUUUGAAUGCAUUGUUGCCAGACAGGUUUGGGAACUGUUAGCUGAUUGCUUUAAGAUUAAUGUACCUAAUUCUUUUACUGUGUUAUCCUCCUUCUGGAGGAAAAGAAAACAAUGUGAAGCUCUGAAUAUAUCCACUACUGCUACCUUGUGGAGCUUAUGGCGUUUGCGAAAUGACUUUGUUUUUCAGGGGCGAAGAUGGCGAAAUAUACGCUGUGUUUUGAAUCUGUUGGGGGCAACGAUCAGGCAGUGGAAGAUCUUGUGCUCAGAAAAUCAGGGUGUGCUUCUCCUCCGCUGUUUAAAGCUGCUGGACUACCGAAGAGGGGAAUUGCUUAGGAUCGCCUGGCGCUGA